UUAGAGUUCAGUUCUAUUGCAGAGACACACAGACACAAUUUAAAAUCCCAACAAAGCGGAGCAGGAGGAACGUGAGCAGAAGAUGGAGGCUCAGGUCACUGAGCCUGGAGACCUUCAUCCCUCUGGUGUUUCUAUCUGCUCAUCACUUCACAUGUGAACCUUUAGUUCUGUGUGAAGGUUGUGACGUCCAGUCUGCUCCACAGGAAGUGACGCUGUCUUCUGUCCUCUCUUUCAGACGCUGGAGGGACGGGUGUUGCUGUGGCUGUUGCUGUUGUUGUUACAUUUUUCUUGACUCUUCUUGUCGUUAGUGUUGUUAUUUACUUUUUGCGUAAAAAGAAAUCUCCCACUGCAGAAACACCUGAAGAAAUGAAACUUUCCCAAAGCAACAAUGAGACGUUCACACCGGCUUCAUGCAGCCACUGACAAGGUGACACAGGAAACAGGAAGUGAACUUCUCAAACUCCUUUUCAUUGGUUCAACAUGUAUUUACCUUUGACUCAAACACGAAUGAAAAGCUUCAGAGUGACGACCACACAACAAUGUUUAUUUAAAGAUAAUGAUGUCAUCAUGACGUCACUUCCACCACGUGAUGACACAUGAUUGGUUCUUGUGAAUAAGCUGAUUUUUCAAUAUAUGUAUAAAAGCUUCAGGUCGUAUCUAUCGUCCAAUAGGAAGCAGAGACUGUUGAAUGAUGCAUGAAGUCAUUUUCUGACCUUUUCUUCAGAAAGUGAAAUGAAACUGUGACAUCACAUCCUGGACACGUAUUUUGAAGGAGACACAGGAUGUUCCUCUCUGUUUCAUGAUCUCUCUGCUUGUGGUUCUUCUCUCAGCUGAACUUUGACUCAACCUCACGUCACUGAUCUCAGACCUGCUGCUCUGCUCUCAAUCAAUGUGAAUGUUCUGCAGCUAAAGUGAAAAUGUGAUGAGUCAGUGUUUAUUGGUGAAGGUGCUGAGUCGGGUCCAGUUCCAGUCUCAGCUGCUUCCUGUUGUCACUGUGAUGUUUGACCCGUCGCUGUCUGACUCUGACUUUGUCUUCAUGUUGUUACCUGAUGAUUCUGAGGAUUUCAGGCUGCUUCAUUAUUUCUGUUCAACACUUUGAAUAAAACGUGACAAACAUCAAA